rnacentral:lncRNA from 1 species
CGCGACGAGGCGAACUUGGUAGAGCACAAAGAAGGGGCGGGGAGCACGUCGGGACGACGGCCCCGUGGUGGCGCCAUUUCCGCGGCCUCGGCGAGCCUUGGGCUCAGUGGUCUAGCGCUCUAGCUCGAAAUUGAAAGCACGGGGAGUAUCGUAGGAGUACCGCGGUUCCGUUGGAGAUGCUCGCGGCGUCCGAAGGUGCUCCGAGCAGUGUGGCCACGAGCGCGGCGGUCUGGGGAAGAAAAUGGCG